AGGUAACCCACCUCUUAUAGACUGACCUUUCAGGUAACCCACCUCUUAUAGACCUUCCAGGUAACCCACCGCUUAUAGACCUUCCAGGUAACCCACCUCUUAUAGACCUUCCAGGUAACCCACCGCUUAUAGACCUUCCAGGUAACCUACCGCUUAUAGACCUUCCAGGUAACCCACCGCUUAUAGACCUUCCAGGUAACCCACCGCUUAUAGACCUUCCAGGUAACCCACCGCGUAUAGACUGACCUUCCAGGUAACCCACCUCUUAUAGACCUUCCAGGUAACCCACCGCUUAUAGACCUUCCAGGUAACCCACCGCUUAUAGACCUUCCAGGUAACCCACCGCUUAUAGACCUUCCAGGUAACCCACCGCGUAUAGACCUUCCAGGUAACCCACCGCUUAUAGACCUUCCAGGUAACCCACCGCUUAUAGACCUUCCAGGUAACCCACCUCUUAUAGACCUUCCAGGUAACCCACCUCUUAUAGACCUUCCAGGUAACCCACCUCUUAUAGACCUGCUGGUGGAACAGUUCCGUACUCACAGCUCAGUCUGAUACACUGGGUUCAAAUAGAAGCAAUGCGCUUACCUUCACUCAUUUCAUGUGUCUUUAUUUAGCCAGGCUGGUCCACUCAGUAACACGUGCCACUGUUUCCCAGUGGUUCAAAUGGAAGGACCUUUGUGUACUAGUAGAAAGAAGACCAUAGUUGAUGUAUAGAAUCACUCCAUUCAGACUCUGGAGUUUUUCCUGCUUAGGUCAUGUGGUCAGGAAACUCCUAGCUGUAUGAAUUCAGUAGAGUCUCAAUGGACGAGGAGGGAGAGAGUUAAAGAUGCUGCUGGUGUACAGUGGCAAGAGCAAGUAUGUGAACCCUUUGGAAUGACCUGUAUUUCUGCAGUCAUUCAUCAUCACAUUUUAUCUGAUCUUCAACAAUAGACAGUCUGCUUAAACUAAUAACACACAAUUAUAGGUUUUCAUGUCUUAUUGAACCCACUGUGUAAACAUUCACAGUGCAGGGUGGGAAAAGUAUGUGAACCCUUGGAUUUAAUAACUGGUUGACCCUCCUUUGGCAGCAAUAACCUCAACCAAGCGUUUUCUGUCGUUGCGGAUCAGACCUGCACAAUGGUCAGGAGGAAUUUUGGACCAUUCCUCUUUACGAAACUGUUUCAGUUCAGCAAUGUUCUUGGGAUGUCUGGUGUGAACUGCUCUCUUGAGGUCAUGCCACAGCAUCUCAAUCAGGUUGAGGUCAGGACUCUGACUGGGUCGCUCCAGAAGGCGUAUUUUCUUCUGUUGAAGCCAUUCUGUUGUCGAUUUACUUCUGUGUUUUGGGUCAUUAUCCUGUUGCAUCACCCAACUUCUGUUGAGCUUCAAUUGGCGGACAGAGAGCCUAACAUUCUCCUGCAAAAUGUCUUGAUAAAUUGGGAAUGCAUUUUUCUGUCGAUGAUAGCAAGCUGUCCAGACCCUGAGGCAGCAAAGCAGCUCCAAACCAUGAUGCUCCCUCCACCAUACUUUACAGUUGGGAUGAGGUUUUGAUGUUGGUGUGCUGGGCCUUUUUUCUUCACACAUAGUGUUUUCUGUUCCUUCCUUCCAAACAACUCAACCUUAGUUUCAUCUGUCCACAGAAUAUUUUGCCCGUAGCGCUGUGGAACAUCCAGGUGCUCUUUUGCGAACUUGUGACGUGCAGCAAUGUUUUUUUUGGGCAGCAGUGGAUUCUUCCGUGGUGUCCUCCCAUAAACACCGUUCUUGUUUAGUGUUUUAUGUAUUGUAGACUCAUCAACAGAGAUGUUAGCAUGUUCCAGAGAUUUCUGUAAGUCUUUAGCUGACACUCUAGGAUUCUUCAUAACCUCAUUGAGCAUUCUGCGCUGUGCUCUUGCAGUCAACUUCGCAGGACAGCCACUCCUAGGGAGAGUAGCAACAGUGCUGAACUUUCUCCAUUUAUAGACAAUUUGUCUUACCGUGGACUGAUGAACAUCAAGGCUUUUAGAGAUACUUUUGUAACCCUUUCCAGCUUUAUGCAAGUCAACAAUUCUUAAUCUGGGGUCUUCUGAGAUCUAUUUUGUUCGAGGCAUGGUUCACAUCAGGCAAUGCUUCUUGUGAAUAGCAAACUCAAAUUGUGUGAGUGUUUUUUAUAGGACAGGGCAGCUCUAACCAACAUCUCCAAUCUUGUCUCAUUGAUUGGACUCCAGGUUAGCUGACUCCUGACUCCAAUUAGCUUUUGGAGAGGUCAUUAGCCUUGGGGUUCACAUACUUUUUCCAACCUACAUUGUGAAUGCUUAAAUUAUGUAUUCAAUAUAGACAAGAAAAGUACAAUAAUUUGUGUUUUAUUAGUUUAAGCGCACUGUGUUUUGUCUAUUGUUGUGACUUGGAUGAAGAUCAGAUCAAAUUUUAUGACCAAUUUAUGCAGAAAUCCAGGUCUUUCCAAAAGGUUCAUACUUUUUCUUGCUACUGAAAGUCCCUCCAUUUUCCAUGUGAAUAAAACCUCUAAUUAAAAUAGAACAGUGAGAGAUGACUGUAGAGUUGUGUGUUGCUAAGGUGCUACACGACCUCCAUGUAACUCAUUAUCACUCUGUCGUGUGUGUGUGUGUGUGUGUGUGUGUGUGUGUGUGUGUGUGUGUGUGUGUUCACAGCUGCUGGAGCUGACAGAGAACUACACGCCAGAGGUGUCUGAGUAUAAAGAGGGGAAAAUCAUUCAUUUUGACCACAGCACCAAACAGAUUGAGCUAGAACUGCUCUCUGCUUAUCAAGCCCCGGUGGAGCCGGGGAAGUUUGACCUGGUCUAUCAGAACGCUGACGGGUCAGAGAGUGUGGAGUACGCCGUGUCCCGGGGCUCCAGGGUGACUGAACGUUGGGACUCACUGCUGGAACCCAGGCUAGUUGUUGGGAAUUUGAGCUGAGGAACAAGAUGGACGUUUUUGGUCGACUUGGCCCAGGCAUUUCUAAAACACUGGGCCACACCCCCCCCCCCCCUCCCCCUUGAGUUCCCCAGUAUUGGCCAAAUUAUAAUAAUUUGGCACACAACCCUAAUUUUGACUGGGUUAAAGAUGGACCAGCCCAAAUCUGGCAUUAUCCGGAUCUGCCCCAUGGCCAGUCCGUUUCUGGUUGGGAGGAUGGACUGGGGCUUGUUCUGACACCCCCAUAGACGGUUUACCCUGGACCCAGAUGAAGCUGGAGAUGUUCCAUUGACUAUGAUUUUGUUUAGUUCAGGAGUAGAGCCUUAAUCUGGGUCUGGGAAACCAGCCUUACUGUCAACAUGUGGUUGACUCUACAGUCUCUCUGAUGAAGAGCUGUAUACGGGUAGAUAUUUUACCUUACCAAACCCCUUAUCCCAGCCUUACCCCUUUUAUAUUACCCUGCUCCUCCCUACACUGGGGGUUUCAGCCUUAGGCCAGGCUUUUGUUCCAGCCCAACACAACAACACAAAUCUGGUCAAUUCCACUUCAAAUCAGCUAAUUCAGGAUAACAUUUUUAUGAAGAUUUGUUAAAUUCAAUAGUUUUGAGUUUCAGUUUAUUUCCUCAGUAAAACAAGAGUUAAAAUGAAAUUGACCAGGACCUUGGAUUCAGCGACUCAAAGUCUGGAUUAAAGCUAUUGAUUAGUUUUAGUUGUGGGUGUGAUGAGCACCAUUUUAAUGACCCACUCAAACCUUCUAAUGUUGUAUUGUGGAAGAGGGGGUACAGGGUAGGUUGGGUAACUACCGUCAAAUAUGUUAUUUCAUCUUUGGUCUUGACUUGACACAUUGAUAUAACUGUGAAUGUCCCAUCUUUACUGUUUUUUUUUUUUUUUUUACUUGUUUGUAAGAUAAUAAAGUUUGAUAUCCUAUGAUUGGAUAUGUGGGGUUUCUUAAACAAU